UGAAGGAUCAAUAGAGGUUAUUCUGAAAAACUAUAUGCUACCAACUUGGAAAAUCUAGAAGAAAUCAACAGAUUUCUGAAAAAAAUAUGAUGUACCAAAACUGAACCAAAAAUCUGAAUAGAACAAUAACAACUAAUGAGAUUGAAUUAGUAGUACAGUGUGCUUUAACAAAGACAAGCCUUUUUUUCUGGCUUCAUUAUUUUCUGAAUGGGUUCAUUACUGAAUUUUAUCAAAAAUUUUAAAGGAGAACAAAUGCCAAUGCUCCUCAAACUAUUCCAUAGAAUUAAAAUAGAUAGGACCCUUCCAAACUAAUUCUUUGAGGCCAGCUUUACCCCUUUCCCAAAUUCUGACAAGAAAAUGUGUAACAACAAAAAGAACCCUAUAGACCAACAUCCGUGAUGCAAAACUCUUCACAAAAUACAAGCAAAGCAAACUCAACAGUUCAUCCAAAAGGUCACAUACCAUAAGUUCUAUUCCAUGGUUUCAAGGAUGGUUUAAUACAUUAAUCAGUAAAGGUAAUAUAUGACCUAAAAUGAAUGAAGAAUAAAAAUCAUAUAAUCAUCUCGAUAGAUGCAGAAAAGCAUUUGAUAAAUGCUUAUGUUUCCAACACCCCUUUACCAUAAAAGUCCUGAGAAAAAUCGGUAAAGUAGGAUCAAAUAUUAUCAUAAUAGAGAAUGCACACAACAACAUAUAACCAACAUCAUACAGAAUGGGAAAACCUGAGAACAUUUUCCAUAAAAUUAUGAGCAAGGCCAUGGUGUUCCCUCUCGGUACUCUUAUUCAAUGUAAUAAUAUAAAUAUUAGCCAGAGCUAUUGGAAAGAGAAAUGAAAGUCAUACAGUAGGAAAAGAGGAUGUAAAAUUAUCCCUGUUUACGGAUGAUAUGGUUCUAUACAUAUAAAAAUCUACAGGCUCAAUCAAAAGAUUAUGAGAAUUGAGAAACAAGUUCAGUAAAGUAUCAAGAAACAAAAAAUUAGUAGUUUUUCUGUAAAUAAGGAACUUGCUGAGAAAGAAAUAAUAAAAACAGUUUAAUUUGCAAUGGCUCUAAAUAAACAAAUCAAAUACCUAGGAAUUAAAUAAACUAAGAGUGUGAAAGACCUCUACAACAGAAAUUGCAAAAAACUGCAGGAGGAAACUGAAGAAAACACUAAAUGUUAGAAAGAUCUCCCAUGUAUGAGGAUUGGAAGAAAUAUUAUUGUUCAACUGAACUUCUCAAAGCUUUCUACAAUGUAGCUAUCAAAGUACCAGUUAUAUUUUUCACAGAACUUAAAAAAAUUCUAAAAUUCAUUUUUUUCAACAAGAAUGCUGAGAAAACUGGAUAUCCAAAUAUAAAAGAUUUAAAAUUGACUCCUAUUGCACACCCUGCAGGAAAAAAAGAAAAACAACUCAGAAUGGAUCAAAGGGCACAAACUCUGAAACGACUGGAGGAAAGAAUAGAGGAAAUGCUUGAAGAUACCAGUACAGGCAACCAUUUUCUGGACAUGGUCCCCAAAUUACAGGACCCCAAAGCAAAUAUCAACAAAUGGAAAUUACAUCAAACUAAAAGGUUCUUGUACAGCAAAACAAUCAACAGAGUGAAGAGACAACCAGAGGGAGAAAAUAUUUGCUAGCAAUUCAUUUUACAGAGGCGUAUUAUCCAGAAUAUAUGAAGAACUUCAAAACCUUUAUGACAAAAAAAACAAUCUAAUUAGAAAGUGGAAAUAUGAUUUAAAUGGAUCUCAAAAAAUUCAAAAUUGCUAGUAAAUACAUUAAAAACUAAAUAUCUUUAGCCAUCAGAGUCAUUUAAUGAAGUCAUUUAAUACAUUCAAAUAAUUUCCUACAUUCAAAGGAAAUCGAGUCACUGUGUAAGAGAGAUAUCUGCAUGCCCAUGUUAAUUGUGAGACUAUUUACAAUAGCUAAAAUAUGGAAUCUAACUGGGUUCCUGUCAACAGAUCAAUGGAUAGAGAACAUAGUACAUAUGUACAAUGAAAUGUUAUUCAGCCAUAAAGAAUUAAAUUAUAUCACUUGUGAAAAAAAGGAUGGGACUGGAGGAUAUUAUAUUAAGCAAAAUAAUCCAUAUAUAUAAAGACAAGUAUCACAUACAUGUUCACUCUAACAUGUGAAAACUAAAAAAGUCAAAUAGUGACUGCUAGGGACUGGAAAGGGUACCGAGUAGAGGGUCAUGAGGAUCGAGCAGCGGAUGUAUAUGGUCAAUGCACACUUCAUGAAUGUAUGGAAAUAAUUUGAUCAAUUUCACCCUCCAAAUCUUGAACUGUCACAUGUAGUCAUUCCAUCCCUCAUAUAAAGAAACUGGAAAAUGGAAUUUGAGUUCUAGGUCAUAUGGGACCCACACACUUGGAGCUUUCCUCUGUUAGUAGGUAAUUAGCAGAGUUGGUGUGGGUCCUCCUGCAUAAUGGGAACUCUUGAAGUUUCUCAACUGUACAUCUCAAAAAUUCCCCUUAAAUGUAUCUAUUCUUAUUCCCAAAGGCAUGUUCAUGUUUACUUGUAAAUGUCUCAAGUUUCCCUUUUGGAAGAAACUACCCAGAGUAAUCUGUCAUCUCAUCAUUGUUUUUUAUUUAUGAAAAAUAAACAGAAAUGAGAAAUCCAAAUAUCAUCUGAUAAUCAGAGAACUGGGGUUAUUGUUUUUAACAAGGAUAUAUAAUGUUAAAAUAUCAAUCAAAAUAGUGUUAGUCAAAGUGGC
rnacentral:lncRNA from 1 species